GGGGGGUUUGGCAUGGAUAGUGAAGUUAGCAAGGACCACUAGAUACAUCAGACUGUAUGAUCCCCUGUUUAUCAUGGGACACUGUAUUCACAAGGAAACCCCACGUUAAAUUUAGUAAGAUAAGAGCAUUUCCAUCCUUGAGAGACUGAGCUGUGUGCUGGCAGCAAGAGGUACCCGGUGUCACCUGUAGCACCUUAUGUCCAAGAUAUGCAGAGAUAAUCCUGGCCUGGUCUCACAGCUGGCCCUCCUUGCAGCAGGAGGUUGGACUAGAGACUUUCUGAGGUCCUUUCCAACCUGAGGUUACCUGUGAUCAUAAGAAGGGACACUGUUUUCAGUGCUGCAGGAGCAAAGAAAAAUCCUCCAAAAUAAUAGCCAGUCUGACAUAGGAGAAUGAUUCCCUAAUAUCCAAUAUUUGUCUCUGUUGACAAAUACCGUCUAUGUGCACAAAUGCAUUGGUGGAGUCAGUUAUGUACAUGAAGGAGAAGCAGUCUUUCUCCUCACCUCUGUAGAUAAAUGCCAGGAGCAUGAGUUUCGUGUGUCUUAUUACAGUACUAUGAGCGUUAUAAGCAGGUUAAUAAUUCCAUUCAGUCUCCAGUCCAUCCACAAGCAGGGAAUUCAUAAAUUCACUGAUUAAUUAGCCUGCAGAGGCCACAAGGAGGAUGCAGUCCCACAUGCCUACAAACAAGCCAGUCUGUAUUGUACAUAACUCAUGCCCUAAGAACCUUAUGCUAGUCAAUGUAAGAGGCAAACAUGAAGCACCAUAAGGGGAGAGGGAAGUAAUUAAAUUAACUCUAGGGGAGGUUUCUAGGGUAUUUUAUUAAUUGCUUUGAAUUCCAAUUAAAACUAUGUAUCUAGUGAAGAGCUUCUGAGGACAAGUUCUUUAUUUGGAUCUGGCAGUUGGAUGGUUUCCUUUUCUUAAAAGGAGAAAAUAAUAGAAAGGAUUGUCUUUUAUAGAUUCUGCAAGGUGUUUUUUUUUUUUUUUUUUUUUAAUCCAGAAUGAAAGUUGUGAUGUAAAAGGUAUGCCUACAGCUUAUUUUUUUUACGGUAUGAUGCAACUCCAGAAGUAAUUUAAUGAACAGACUUUGCAAUUGAUUCAAUUGGCACUAUGCCUGAACAAAAUAGACUCAGUCAAUUGAAGACCAUCAGUGCACACUGACAAUCAUGAGUUCAUGUGACCAUUCUUACUCCAAAUGCUCUCAUGCUUGAUUACUGUUUUCUGAUGGGAACGUUGUUUUUCUCCCAACAAAACAUCUCUUAAUAACAAAACAUCUAACCAUGUUUCAGAUCGACAAGUAAGCUUCUGAAAGGAAAAUAUAUAUAUGUGUGUGUGUGUUAACAUAGGGAUGCAAAAAUUACGUGAUUUAUUUAUGUCAGUGGUGAGAAAAGAAAUGUGCAAUUAAUUGUGUUACACCUGUGCUACCAGAUUGCUGAUAUCUGCAAAAUCUCCAUGCGUUUUUCUGAGGUAACCAAAAUUUCAGUACUGUUUUGUAGCGCAGGGGUUACUCAUGUUUAUUUUAAUAUUAUAGUUAUUACAAAUUACCAUUAUCAUAACCCUAGUAUUUAAGACAAUGCAAUAGAGUGUUUGCAUCCUUCUUGUAGAAUGUCUUAGAAUUGCAUCCAAUAAUAUAAAGAAUAAAAUUUGCUUUAAUUUUCAGUUGACUCCCCUUGUAAAUGUGUAGAUGUGUGUUUUUGUUUUUUAGGUAAGAUAUCAGAGACUUAAAAAGAUAUUUUUCUUUUCCAGUGGAACUAAAACUUCUGUAACAAAGAAAUAAUCUUUUUGGUAUUAAAUUGGUGAAACAGUAAAUGUUUUCUGAAUCCUGAGAAUAAAAUGUUUUUGAGAAAGGACAUCAAACUUUAGCCUUCAAAAUAUCAGUCAAUAAUGGAAAUCCACUAAAAUGUUCUUGUUGGAAAAUAAGUGCUUAACAAGUUUUUUUUUUAUUAUUUUAAUGGACAUUAGAUGCUGAAAAUAGGUUUCCACCUGGGACAAACCCUCAAUCUCUUUGUUUUUCUCCUCUGAAUUUGAAGAGAGUUCAGUUCUAACUAGAUUCUUGCAUCUCGUCUUUUCAGUGCAAAUGUGUUGAGUUGUAGCUCAAAGCUCUGAUCUCAUUUCUAAUCAUUGCUCUGUCGUGUAUUUAUGUACAUUUGAAGAAGACUUUGUCAACCUGACUGUUACUUUGUUCUGUUUCAGGGCUGUUACCUGGACCCCUACUACUCUGCUGUUCUCUGCAGUAAGCAUUACCCACCAGGGGGAGCCGAAGCCAAGAACUGUCAGAUUUUGAUCUGCCUCCCAGUUCUCUACGUUCCCUACUGCAGGUCUUCUCUUCCACUUUGCAGGAGUUUGGAUUCAGGUCUCUGUCCUCAGGUUAGCUUGGGAGCUGGUUUUUGAUCAGACUGUCUCAUGCCAGUUACUGCAUGAAAUGCACAUUUAUUCAUUAGGUCCUUCUCUACACAGGGAUUGCUUCAUACUUACAUCGAGAAAUUCAGUGAAAGAUUAUAUUCUGUGUUCACACAGCCAAGUUCCAUAUCAAGGCAGAAAAUGUCAGCAAUGACCUUAUUUGCACCUGCUUCAUUAAUCAUCUGGGCUCUCAUCUCAGAGUAUUCAGGCAUAUUCCAAACACUAAUACCACUGAGAUAAUAUUCAGGAAUCUGAAGGCCAUGGGCAUACGACCAAGUUACCUUCAGUUCUUCUUGGAGAACCUUGGGGAGUGGAGAAGGAGGUAAAACAGGAAAUGGAAAGACUGCAACUUCCUAGUGAAAAACAUAAUGCCAUUGAUCAAUACUUCCUUAGUGGAGAUGAAAAGUUUGCAAGCCCAUAUUCUUGAAACUAGCACAUCCAUCCUCUUUCAAUACACUACUGUCUUGACUUAUAUUGGCCACUGUCUGCUGCUUCUCAAGUACAGCGAAGAAGAGAAAAUUGACUGUAUCACACUGGAAUGGUUAAAAAAUGAUUGAAAAAUUAACCAACUAUGUACUUUGUGGCAAUUACAGAUGAUCAUAUUGGAAUUGUUUUUGGAGUCAUGAUGGAAAUCAGGUUUCCAAAGUGCGCACAUAACACGCUUACAGGAAGAAGAGCCUUUUGGCUCAGUAAAGCUUCAUCAGCUAAUGCAUCAGAGUACAUCUCUGCAUGACAAACAGAGCCCACUGCAGCACAGACACAAGAAUUAACACAUGCUCUGGUAACUUACCUGAUCUGGCGGUGCUUUGAGAAUAGCAUUGAAGUCUUGGAUCCAUUUGAACACCAGCACAAAAUUAUUCCAAGUUACGAAAGCUGUGACCAGCCAACUCCAGCUACUGGAAGAAGGAGCAAAAGCAGUCCAGCUGGCAGGAAGCAUCACCAUUUUAUGGACAUAUUACACAUUGAUACAGUCCCCAGCCCAAGCCUUCCAGUCUUUACAGGAAGGAAAUUUAAGGGUUAUUAAGCUGUAACAAAUAGAAAAAGGAGUAACAUGCACCAAGGAGAACUUAAGACACUCAUCUGCAUCGUUCUCUGGACAAAGUCUCUAACAAUGAUCCCCUCUUUGUAACCUUAUUAUGCAGUAGCCUGGAAAGCGAGUCAGGGCCUUAGAGUAAGGUUUACAUUCCCUCCUACCCUGCUGAUGGUCAAAGCCCUUGGGGCAGUUUCCCCCAAGUGCAGUGUACUUACUGCAGUGUGGAUCUCCCCAGUGAAGCUGGUCCACUUAAACUAAAAUUUUAAAUCUCAGAAUAUUGGCUCCACACUCCCCUGCCAUAUGUUAACUAAUAUUACUUGCAAAUGCUAAAAUCCCGUUAAGGAAUCAGAUCCUAAUUGUGGAAGUAGGCUCAGUGUUUUAUGUAGCUAAUAAUAUUUGGAGACCUGCACGUUGAUUCAUACCAUCUGGCCCAGCAGCACUGAGGCUUUCGUUACGCUACAUGCAGCACACCUAGCCCUCCAGCCCCAGCCGGCACAGCCCUCUAGUGGAGAUGCAGGAUUGAGUUGGGAUGGUAUUCAUCCACAGCAGCUUGCUUUUUGCUCCUCUGCCUUCCCGGCUGUUCUCAACUCAACAGUGCUUUUCAGUCGUACUUGGCCACAGAUGGUGUCACUUUUUCAUCUGUGCCCUCAUGGAAGACCUUAGCAGCAAAGAACAGAGACCUAUGUGGACUUAGAGCACUUCCAGCCCGCCUAGAGAUAACCUGCACACCUGCUCAAUCUGCCCAGCCAAGACUGCCAGGGCACAGGCAGUCUCUCAAGGAAGAACACUUAAGCAUAACCCUAGGUAUAAGCUCUGGUAUACCGUUUAUUUCUCCUCUGUUAGUGUCUCUCAUUGCAAAGGAGCAGAAGCAGCUGUUUCCAUCUCUUUUCCACCUCCUCUAGGGGGUGGAGGAAGUUAAAAAAUAAGCUUUUAACAACCAGCUAAGUUUAGACACUAUCAGCAUACUUCAGAAAAAUAAUGUUUAAUGUUAAAGCCCAUCAGAAAUCUGCUAGGAAUUGUCUAUUGGCUGUAUGCCAGCCACACUUUUUU